rnacentral:rRNA from 1 species
GACGAACGCUGGCGGCGUGCUUAACACAUGCAAGUCGAACGGAAAGGCCCUGCUUUUUUGGUGUGCUCGAGUGGCGAACGGGUGAGUAACACGUGAGUAACCUGCCCUUUACUUUGGGAUAACUUCAGGAAACUGGGGCUAAUACCGGAUAGGAGCUCCUUCUGCAUGGUGGGGGUUGGAAAGUUUCGGCGGUUGGGGAUGGACUCGCGGCUUAUCAGCUUGUUGGUGGGGUAGUGGCUUACCAAGGCUUUGACGGGUAGCCGGCCUGAGAGGGUGACCGGCCACAUUGGGACUGAGAUACGGCCCAGACUCCUACGGGAGGCAGCAGUGGGGAAUAUUGCACAAUGGGCGGAAGCCUGAUGCAGCAACGCCGCGUGCGGGAUGACGGCCUUCGGGUUGUAAAACGCUUUAGCCUGUGACGACGCGUGAGUGACGGUAAUGGGUAAAGAAGCACCGGCUAACUACGUG